GGGAAUAUUGCACAAUGGGCGAAAGCCUGAUGCAGCAACGCCGCGUGAGUGAUGAAGGUCUUCGGAUUGUAAAGCUCUGUCUUUUGGGACGAUAAUGACGGUACCAAAGGAGGAAGCCACGGCUAACUACGUGCCAGCAGCCGCGGUAAUACGUAGGUGGCGAGCGUUGUCCGGAUUUACUGGGCGUAAAGGGUGCGUAGGCGGAUGUUUAAGUGAGAUGUGAAAUACCCGGGCUUAACUUGGGUGCUGCAUUUCAAACUGGAUAUCUAGAGUGCAGGAGAGGAGAAUGGAAUUCCUAGUGUAGCGGUGAAAUGCGUAGAGAUUAGGAAGAACACCAGUGGCGAAGGCGAUUCUCUGGACUGUAACUGACGCUGAGGCACGAAAGCGUGGGUAGCAAACAGGAUUAGAUACCCUGGUAGUCCACGCCGUAAACGAUGAGUACUAGGUGUAGGAGGUAUCGACCCCUUCUGUGCCGCAGUAAACACAUUAAGUACUCCGCCUGGGAAGUACGAUCGCAAGAUU
rnacentral:rRNA from 1 species